rnacentral:rRNA from 1 species
GGAGGAUCCGAGCGUUAUCCGGAUUUAUUGGGUUUAAAGGGAGCGUAGGCGGACGCUUAAGUCAGUUGUGAAAGUUUGCGGCUCAACCGUAAAAUUGCAGUUGAUACUGGGUGUCUUGAGUACAGUAGAGGCAGGCGGAAUUCGUGGUGUAGCGGUGAAAUGCUUAGAUAUCACGAAGAACUCCGAUUGCGAAGGCAGCUUGCUGGACUGUAACUGACGCUGAUGCUCGAAAGUGUGGGUAUCAAACAGGAUUAGAUACCCUGGUAGUCCACACAGUAAACGAUGAAUACUCGCUGUUUGCGAUAUACAGUAAGCGGCCAAGCGAAAGCGUUAAGUAUUCCACCUGGGGAGUACGCCGGCAACGGUG